ensembl:snRNA U6 U6 spliceosomal RNA
GUGCUUAUUUAGCAGCAUUUACUAUACACUAAAUCAGAAUGACACAGAGAAGAUUGGCGUGGGCCUUGUGCAAGGAUGACACCCAAAUUUGUGAGUCAUUCCAUGCUUUU